AGAGUUUGAUUAUGGCGUCAGGAUGAACGCUAGCGGCAGGCCUAAUACAUGCAAGUCGUACGGGAUAGACACUUCGGGUGUCUUGAGAGUGGCGCACGGGUGCGCAACGCGUAUGCAACAACCCCCGACGGGCGGAUAGCCGGUGGAAACGCCGGAUAAUACGCCAUGGUUCCUGAGAGGGGCAUCCCUCUCAGGAUAAAGCAGUGAUGCGGUCGGGGACGGGCAUGCGUCCCAUUAGAUUGUAGGCGGGGUGACGGCCCACCUAGUCGACGAUGGGUAGGGGAUCUGAGAGGACGGUCCCCCACACUGGUACUGAGACACGGACCAGACUCCUGCGGGAGGCAGCAGUAAGGGAUAUUGGGCAAUGGUCGGAAGACUGACCCAGCCAUGCCGCGUGAGGGAAUGAGGCCCUACGGGUCGUGAACCUCUUUUAUUCGGGGACAAGGACGGCGUCGAGAACGUUGUUUGAGGGUACCGAAGGAAUAAGCGUCGGCUAACUCCGUGCCAGCAGCCGC
rnacentral:rRNA from 1 species